ACUCCGGGAAACCGGUGCUAAUACCGAAUAGUUUGCGGCCUCUCCUGAGGCUGCACGGAAAGACGGUUUCGGCUGUCACUGCAGGAUGGGCCCGCGGCGCAUUAGCUAGUUGGUGGGGUAAUGGCCCACCAAGGCGACGAUGCGUAGCCGACCUGAGAGGGUGAUCGGCCACACUGGGACUGAGACACGGCCCAGACUCCUACGGGAGGCAGCAGUAGGGAAUCUUCCGCAAUGGACGAAAGUCUGACGGAGCAACGCCGCG
rnacentral:rRNA from 1 species